rnacentral:rRNA from 1 species
AAACCGUUUAGGGGUAAACCUGAGAAACCCGAAAGGUCGAAGGGAGAAAUUCAUUCGCGUUUCGCGGUCGGCGUGAGACGGUCGUGUGACGGAAAACGUUCGCGUUUUCCGCACCUUUCGUUUUUCGAUCCGAUAGCGAACGCGUGCACUUUUCUCCUGGUAGGACGUCGCGAUCCGUUGGGUGUCGGUCUACGGCUCGCGGUGGAGACCGGAUGUACGGCUUGCCGUCACGUCCGGACCCGCGUGUCCCGGCUGACUCGCUCGACGGUAUACGAAAGGUUUAAGGCCGCUCUUAGAGCGUUCGGCUCGUCGCAAGCGCGUCAGAUGUGUGUCGGUGAUCGGACCUAGUGCCGGUUCUGACCUCUGGCGACUGUUGGCGGCGAAGUUCUCGAACAGACCUUYGACCGAUCUGCGACGCUAUAGCUUUGGGUACUUUCAGGACCCGUCUUGAAACACGGACCAAGGAGUCUAGCAUGUGCGCGAGUCAUUGGGAAUCAUUAAACCUAAAGGCGCAAUGAAAGUAAAGGUCCGCCUUGCGCGGACUGAGGGAAGACGAGCGGUUUACCCUUAAAAGUGGCCGCUCCGCAUUCCCGGGGCGUCUCAUUCUCAUCGCGAGAAGAGGCGCACCAAGAGCGUACACGCUGGGACCCGAAAGAUGGUGAACUAUGCCUGGUCAGGACGAAGUCAGGGGAAACCCUGAUGGAGGUCCGUAGCGAUUCUGACGUGCAAAUCGAUCGUCGGAACUGGGUAUAGGGGCGAAAGACUAAUCGAACCAUCUA